rnacentral:rRNA from 1 species
AUGAGCUCCGCCGCCGCCGCCUCCUCGUCGGCGUCGCCGGUGCCGCCGGAGGACGACGUCUGCUCCGUCUGCCACGACCGCUUCCGGAUCCCCUGCCAGGCCAACUGCUCCCACUGGUUCUGCGGAGAGUGCAUCAUCCGUGUUUGGAAUCAUGGAGCUGCUGUACAGCCUUGCAAGUGUCCCAUUUGCCGCCGCCUUAUAAAUCUGCUGGUACCUGCUAAUGUAUCAGACGAUCAGAAUGAUGAUCCCCAGCUUCAACGUGUUUUGGGAGAGAUUCAGCACUACAAUCACAUAUUCGGUGGAGCACCACGCAGCCUAACUCAGAGGCUGCAAGACCUACCGUUUUUCAUACGAAGGCUGUUCAGAGAACUAAUGGAUCCCCAGAGGACCCUCCCACUUGUAUUCAGGGCGAGGAUGAUUCUGAUGGUGAUCCUGAGCGGAGUCUACGUCCUGAGCCCCGUCGACAUCCUCCCUGAAAGCGUGCUGGGGCUGUUUGGGUUCUUCGACGACUUCCUCAUCCUGGUGAUCGUGUUCCUCCACCUGGCGGCCGUGUACCGGUCGCUGCUCCUCUACCGCCACGGAGGCCACUGA